rnacentral:rRNA from 2 species
CUACUCUUGACAUCCUCAGAAGCUUGUAGAGAUACGAGUGUGCCUUCGGGAACUGAGAGACAGGUGCUGCAUGGCUGUCGUCAGCUCGUGUUGUGAAAUGUUGGGUUAAGUCCCGCAACGAGCGCAACCCUUAUCCUUGUUUGCCAGCACUUCGGGUGGGAACUCCAGGGAGACUGCCGGUGAUAAACCGGAGGAAGGUGGGGACGACGUCAAGUCAUCAUGGCCCUUACGAGUAGGGCUACACACGUGCUACAAUGGCGCAUACAGAGGGCGGCCAACUUGCGAGAGUGAGCGAAUCCCAAAAAGUGCGUCGUAGUCCGGAUUGGAGUCUGCAACUCGACUCCAUGAAGUCGGAAUCGCUAGUAAUCGUGGAUCAGAAUGCCACGGUGAAUACGUUCCC